rnacentral:rRNA from 1 species
UGGGGAAUAUUGCACAAUGGGCGGAAGCCUGAUGCAGCGACGCCACGUGAGGGAUGACGGCCUUCGGGUUGUAAACCUCUUUCAGUAGGGACGAAGCGUAAGUGACGGUACCUGCAGAAGAAGCACCGGCUAACUACGUGCCAGCAGCCGCGGUAAUACGUAGGGUGCGAGCGUUGUCCGGAAUUACUGGGCGUAAAGAGCUCGUAGGCGGUUUGUCACGUCGUCUGUGAAAUCCUAGGGCUUAACCCUGGACGUGCAGGCGAUACGGGCUGACUUGAGUACUACAGGGGAGACUGGAAUUUCUGGUGUAGCGGUGGAAUGCACAGAUAUCAGGAAGAACACCGAUGGCGAAGGCAGGUCUCUGGGUAGUAACUGACGCUGAGGAGCGAAAGCAUGGGUAGCGAACAGG